CGAAUGCUGACAUAAGUAACGAUAAAGCGGGUGAAAAGCCCGCUCGCCGGAAGACCAAGGGUUCCUGUCCAACGUUAAUCGGGGCAGGGUGAGUCGACCCCUAAGGCGAGGCCGAAAGGCGUAGUCGAUGGGAAACAGGUUAAUAUUCCUGUACUUGGUGUUACUGCGAAGGGGGGACGGAGAAGGCUAUGUUGGCCGGGCGACGGUUGUCCCGGUUUAAGCGUGUAGGCUGGUUUUCCAGGCAAAUCCGGAAAAUCAAGGCUGAGGCGUGAUGACGAGGCACUACGGUGCUGAAGCAACAAAUGCCCUGCUUCCAGGAAAAGCCUCUAAGCAUCAGGUAACAUCAAAUCGUACCCCAAACCGACACAGGUGGUCAGGUAGAGAAUACCAAGGCGCUUGAGAGAACUCGGGUGAAGGAACUAGGCAAAAUGGUGCCGUAACUUCGGGAGAAGGCACGCUGAUAUGUAGGUGAAGUCCCUCGCGGAUGGAGCUGAAAUCAGUCGAAGAUACCAGCUGGCUGCAACUGUUUAUUAAAAACACAGCACUGUGCAAACACGAAAGUGGACGUAUACGGUGUGACGCCUGCCCGGUGCCGGAAGGUUAAUUGAUGGGGUCAGCGCAAGCGAAGCUCUUGAUCGAAGCCCCGGUAAACGGCGGCCGUAACUAUAACGGUCCUAAGGUAGCGAAAUUCCUUGUCGGGUAAGUUCCGACCUGCACGAAUGGCGUAAUGAUGGCCAGGCUGUCUCCACCCGAGACUCAGUGAAAUUGAACUCGCUGUGAAGAUGCAGUGUACCCGCGGCAAGACGGAAAGACCCCGUGAACCUUUACUAUAGCUUGACACUGAACAUUGAGCCUUGAUGUGUAGGAUAGGUGGGAGGCUUUGAAGUGUGGACGCCAGUCUGCAUGGAGCCGACCUUGAAAUACCACCCUUUAAUGUUUGAUGUUCUAACGUUGACCCGUGAUCCGGGUUGCGGACAGUGUCUGGUGGGUAGUUUGACUGGGGCGGUCUCCUCCUAAAGAGUAACGGAGGAGCACGAAGGUUGGCUAAUCCUGGUCGGACAUCAGGAGGUUAGUGCAAUGGCAUAAGCCAGCUUGACUGCGAGCGUGACGGCGCGAGCAGGUGCGAAAGCAGGUCAUAGUGAUCCGGUGGUUCUGAAUGGAAGGGCCAUCGCUCAACGGAUAAAAGGUACUCCGGGGAUAACAGGCUGAUACCGCCCAAGAGUUCAUAUCGACGGCGGUGUUUGGCACCUCGAUGUCGGCUCAUCACAUCCUGGGGCUGAAGUAGGUCCCAAGGGUAUGGCUGUUCGCCAUUUAAAGUGGUACGCGAGCUGGGUUUAGAACGUCGUGAGACAGUUCGGUCCCUAUCUGCCGUGGGCGCUGGAGAACUGAGGGGGGCUGCUCCUAGUACGAGAGGACCGGAGUGGACGCAUCACUGGUGUUCGGGUUGUCAUGCCAAUGGCACUGCCCGGUAGCUAAAUGCGGAAGAGAUAAGUGCUGAAAGCAUCUAAGCACGAAACUUGCCCCGAGAUGAGUUCUCCCUGACCCUUUAAGGGUCCUGAAGGAACGUUGAAGACGACGACGUUGAUAGGCCGGGUGUGUAAGCGCAGCGAUGCGUUGAGCUAACCGGUACUAAUGAACCGUGAGGCUUAACCUUACAACGCCGAAGGUGUUU
rnacentral:rRNA from 1 species